CCCCUAGUACUGCGAGUGAAGCGGGAAAAGCUCAAAUUUAAAAUCUGGUGGUCUCUGGACCACCCGAGUUGUAGUCUGGAGAAGUGCCUUCUGUGCUGGACCGUGUACAAGUCUCCUGGAAUGGAGCGUCAUARAGGGUGARAAUCCCGUCUUUGACACGGAUGACCCAGUGCUCUGUGAUGUGCUCUCAAAAAGUCAAGUUGUUUGGGAAUGCAGCUCAAAAUGGGUGGUGAAUUCCAUCUAAAGCUAAAUAUUGGCAAGAGACCGAUAGCGAACAAGUACCGUGAGGGAAAGAUGAAAAGCACUUUGGAAAGARAGUUAAACAGUACGUGAAAUUGUUGAAAGGGAAACGCUUGAAGUCAGUCACGUCUGCCUGAACUCAGCCUUGCAACCUUUGCUUGGUGUACUUUCUGGUGGUCGGGCCACCAUCAAUUUUGACUGUCGGAUAAAGGCAAAGGAAAUGUGGCACCUUUGGGUGUGUUAUAGUCCCUUGUCGCAGGCAAUGGUUGGRAUUGAGGAACUCACCAUGCCCUUGUUGGCCGGGGCUUUGCCCACGUCCAUGCUUAGGAUGCUGGCAUAAUGGCUUUAAGCGACCCGUCUUGAAACACGGACCAAGGAGUCUAACAKGCCCGCGAGUGUUUGGGUGGAAAAAACCCAUGCGCAAAUGAAAGUGAAAGUUUGGGACCUCUGUCAUGGAGGGCACUGAA
rnacentral:rRNA from 1 species